UGCCAUACGAUACGGAGCUAUUGAAAUCGGUGUAGUCCCAGGUACAAGCUCAAUACCAAACUCUACCUCUCGAACAGGUGGUAAACCCGGUAAUUCUUCGGGAAAAACAUUUGGGUAUUCACAAACCACUGGCAUAGAUUCAAGCUUCUUUUCUAACUCAUUGUCAUCAAGUACAUACGCAAGGUAUGCUUCGCACCCAUUUCUUACAUAUUUCUGAGCCAACAUCGAUGAUAUUACAGCUGGCGACCCC
rnacentral:lncRNA from 1 species